rnacentral:rRNA from 1 species
AACGAACGCUGGCGGCAGGCUUAACACAUGCAAGUCGAACGCCCCGCAAGGGGAGUGGCGCACGGGUGAGUACCGCGUGGAUAUCUGCCUUUUGGUUCGGAAUAACCCCGGGAAACUGGGGCUAAUACCGGAUGGUUCCUACGGGAUAAAGAUUUAUCGCCAAAAGAUGAGUCCGCGUACGAUUAGCUAGUUGGUGAGGUAAUGGCUCACCAAGGCGACGAUCGUUAGCUGGUCUGAGAGGACGAUCAGCCACACUGGGACUGAGACACGGCCCAGACUCCUACGGGAGGCAGCAGUGGGGAAUAUUGGACAAUGGGGGCAACCCUGAUCCAGCCAUGCCGAGUGAGUGAUGAAGGCCUUCGGGUUGUAAAGCUCUUUUGGCGGGGACGAUGAUGACGGUACCCGCAGAAUAAGCCCCGGCUAACUUCGUG